rnacentral:lncRNA from 1 species
ACAGCUGUUUGCAAGGAAUCGUGGACCAUUUGGGUCUAAUUUAAGAGCCUGGACUCAGCUUUUUAUAACUUGCGCAGAUUUAACGCUCUCAUUUUGACACUUGACAUGCAUCUCUACCGCAAAACAAAAAGGCGGCACGGAUAAAUGUAACCUCAUCAGGGCUCACUGACGGCUGCGACGGAGGGAAUCAUUAUAGAUUCUGCACGACUCGGGACGGCCGACACAUCGGAGGAAAGCGGGGCGCCGGGUCACGACACCUUCAUCGUCACCACCGCUGCAACCGCUUCCCUUUCAUUUGGGCGCUAAUCGGUGCAUUAACGUAGGCCGUGAACGUUGGGGGUUGACGCAUCACGGACGAACGAAGCCCCGCCAUCCAUUAUCCCACUUCUUUAUCAAACAGAAAAACACACAAAUGCCCGAAGUACAAUUAUUUUCACUAAUCAAGGCUGCAGUAAGACGGCCAACCGCAAACACCAUCAAUACACAUCUCUCCGCACAAAGCUGGGCAUCCAAGCUGAAUGACACACAGAUAAAUCAGAGCUCCUCAGUACGUUCAAACAAUAUUAAGGCAGCCAUUAGUCUAUUAAUGGGCAAUCGGCACAACUCUCGGGCACAAGAUUAAUUGCGCCCGGUGUAAGUCAUGCUCCUCCGUAUGAUUUCUUUCUUGGCAACAGAUGUGUUUUCCUUCAAAAAAUAAACGAAUCGCUGUGUCUUUCAUUCAAGGCCAUAUCAGCAGAAAGUGGCUGAAGGAACUGACUGCUGUACACUACGCGAAGGGAUGCAGCGUGGGACGUGAACCGGCAACCUCCCGGUUCCACAGCCACGCACUUGCAUGCUGGGUCACCCGUUCUCCACCGACAAUGAAUGGAAAUACAAGACACACUUCACUGUGGACAUUUAAAGAUUCCCAGUUCAAAUGCCCAGUUUCUCUAUAAAACCCCCUAGACUUCAGUAUUAAAACAGAUUUUUUAAAAAAAACAGGUUAAUAAAAGGUGCUGCUGAUAAUAGCUGUGUCA